UACGGGGGGGGGCAAGCGUUGUUCGGAAUUACUGGGCGUAAAGGGCUCGUAGGCGGCCAACUAAGUCAUACGUGAAAUCCCUCGGCUUAACCGGGGGAACUGCGUCUGAUACUGGAUGGCUUGAGUUCGGGAGAGGGAUGCGGAAUUCCAGGUGUAGCGGUGAAAUGCGUAGAUAUCUGGAGGAACACCGGUGGCGAAGGCGGGUCUCUGGGCAACAACUGACGCUGAGGAGCGAAAGCGUGGGGGAGCGAACAGG
rnacentral:rRNA from 1 species